GACGAACGCUGGCGGCGUGCUUAACACAUGCAAGUCGAACGGAAAGGCCCUGCUUUUGUGGGGUGCUCGAGUGGCGAACGGGUGAGUAACACGUGAGUAACCUGCCCUUGACUUUGGGAUAACUUCAGGAAACUGGGGCUAAUACCGGAUAGGAGCUCCUGCUGCAUGGUGGGGGUUGGAAAGUUUCGGCGGUUGGGGAUGGACUCGCGGCUUAUCAGCUUGUUGGUGGGGUAGUGGCUUUCCAAGGCUUUGACGGGUAGCCGGCCUGAGAGGGUGACCGGCCACAUUGGGACUGCGAUACGGACCAGACGGCAACGGGAGGCAGCAGUGGGGAAUAUUGCACAAUGGGCGGAAGCCUGAUGCGACAACGCCGCGUGCGGGAUGACGGCCUUCGGGUUGUAAACCGCUGUCGCCUGUGACGAAGCGUGAGUGACGGUAAUGGGUAAAGAAGCACCGGCUAACUACGUG
rnacentral:rRNA from 1 species